AAGCCAAAUUCCCAAUUCGUCAAUUUCGCCCAGACUUCACUUCACUCCAGCCCUAAAAUUCUAAAAUCUGUCGCUCCCUUUCCACCUUCUUGCUGCCACCGAUCUUUGCUGCUGUCGCCGACGGCUCAUCUGAAAUCUCCAAGUAAGUUCCUACUAGAGAGUACAGGCUUUAUACCACCAAUUUCCAGUCUCAUCUCCUACACUUUGUCCGAAGAGUCCAAACCUAACUGCCUAUAUAUUCUGAAUCAAUUCCUGCUGCCUUCUUCGAUUCUCCAUCCAGUCCCCGGCAGAGUUGCAGAAGUUGGGAAGGAAAAAGAUAUAUAUAGGGUGGCCGUCUACAGACUAGAGGGGUCAAAACAAUCCUACUGAAAUCAAUUCUUGAUCCGCUGCCAUGGGAAAGAACGAGUUCCUGACGCCAAAGGCAAUAGCUAAUAGAAUCAAAGCGAAAGGCUUACAAAAACUCCGAUGGUAUUGUCAGAUGUGCCAAAAGCAAUGCCGGGAUGAGAAUGGCUUCAAGUGCCACUGCAUGAGCGAAUCACACCAGCGACAGAUGCAGGUUUUCGGCCAAAACCCUAAUCGAAUCAUCGAUGGCUAUUCUGAAGAGUUCGAACAAGCGUUUCUCGAACAUAUGAAGCGUAGUCACCGCUUUAGUCGCAUCGCCGCCACUGUGGUAUAUAACGAGUACAUCGCCGAUCGCUACCAUAUUCAUAUGAAUUCAACUCAGUGGGCGACUUUGACGGAGUUUGUUAAGUAUUUGGGGAGGACUGGCAAGUGUAAAGUUGAGGAAACUCCAAAAGGGUGGUUUAUUACUUAUAUUGAUCGUGAUUCGGAGACCUUGUUUAAGGAGAAGAUGAAGAAUAAGAGGAUUAGGGCGGAUUUAGCAGAGGAGGAGAAGCAGGAGAGGGAGAUUAAGAAGCAGAUUGAGCGUGCCGAGCAGCUGAUGUCAACUGGGAAUGAACAGGAAGUUCAGGAGAAAAGGUUGUUUGAGAAAUCGGAGAACGAGAAAAUUAAGUUAAGUUUGGGAUCAUUGUCGAAAAGUAAUUUGAAGGAGGAGAGUUCUAGGGUUGUUUUUGAUGAUGUGGAGAAUGAGAGUAAAGGCGACAAGGGGAAUAAAGGCAGUGGAAAGAUGGGAAGCUCAGUGUUGGAUGAGUUGAUGAGGGAAGAAGAGAAGGCGAAGGAGAGGAGUAAUAGGAAGGAUUAUUGGUUGUGUGAGGGGAUUAUUGUGAAGGUAAUGAGCAGGGCACUGGCAGAAAAGGGGUACUAUAAGCAGAAAGGCAUAGUGCAGAAAGUGAUUGAUAAGUAUGUUGGGGAAAUUGAGAUGCUAGAGAGUAAGCAUGUCUUGAGAAUUGAUCAAGAAGAGCUUGAGACUGUGAUUCCACAAAUUGGAGGACUUGUGAGAAUAGUUAAUGGGGCUUAUCGUGGGUCAUAUGCUAGGCUGCUAGCUGUUGAUACAGAUAAGUUCUGUGCUAAGGUGCAGAUUGAGAAGGGGAUUUAUGAUGGCAGGGUGAUUAAGGCCAUUGAGUAUGAAGAUAUCUGCAAAGUGGCUCAAUGAAAAAUGUUGAUAAGAAUGUACUAACUGUAUUGUGAUCAAGUGGUAAUUGUUCUACUUUCCAGAGUUGUUCAGUACCAUGAUAGUCUGCAUCUUUUAUGAAUGAUUGCAAUCUUCUUUCUUUUCCAGAAGAUCAAGGAAACUGCUAGUAUUGAUAUUGUUGACAUUCUUGACACAUAUUCUCAUGGUACCAGAGUUGCUUGGGAAAUUUGGGAGGAUUUGUUGUGACUUUAUUUAACAGAAGAUGCAUGAGACAGAGUGAAGUUGAAUGUUCUAGCAGCAAGUGCCUUCUUUCAAAAAAACCAGCAAAUGGGGACAAGGUGUAUUGAAAAGAGAAAAUUGAAGGUUCUGCUCGAGGAUUUGAAAUUUAUGGCCUAAUCUUCUGCCAAAGUUGUGUUGUGUGUGCUAUGAAUUGAUCUGGUUCGUAUAUUUCUUUUCUGUACUUAGUCCCUUUUUCCCCUUUUAUUUUAGAUAGCUGAGGAACCAAAACUUGGUUGCUAUGGAACAAUUAGUUUUGCCACUGUCAAGCCUACAUCUCCAGACCUCUUAGUUUGACCAGUCUUUCCCUUGGACUUCUGCUGAUAUUGGUCUUUAAGGCGGGAGGAGGGGGAAAAAAGGAAAAACAACUAGAUUGAACAUGAUUUGUUCUGUAUGUUUUGAAUGCCAAUGGAAAAAAUUCUAGGUUGUUCAACAGUCUUCAAUCUAGAAUUGAGAGCCCUUGGUAAUUCUGCUUAAUCUUCGUUAUUGUCAUGGUACAAAGUGAAUAGUUGCUCUAUGUGUAUACAUUCUUGUGCUUGUUUUCAUCAAUUUCACUAGUUGCUUGAAGUGCUAGUCGUAUCUUAUUCCACUGUCCACUCUGUACAUUAUACCUGAAGGUAGUUCAUCUAACUACGUUAAAGGUAGUUGGUUUAGUGAUAGUUAUAUGAUGUUAUUAUAUCUGUUUUAUUGGACUUGAUAUUCAAUUGGAAAUAAAAUAUGUGGCGAAUCUUAGCACUA